GUCCAGAAAAUGAAUAUUAGUUCAGCUUUAAAAAUACCAAUAAUAUAAAUAAAUAUACUGUAUUUUUAAAAGUUAGUCUAAAAGGGUGCAGCCUUUUAGAAACGGAUACAACCUUAACUAGAGAGUAAAACUCGACAAUACCAUAGUAGGCCCAAAAGCAGCCACCAAUUAAGAAAGCGUUAAAGCUCAACAAUAAAACCAUCCCAAUCCCAACAACAAACAAUCAACUCCUAGACUUAAUACUGGACUAAUCUAUAAAAAUAGAAGCAAUAAUGUUAAUAUGAGUAACAAGAAGUAUAUUCUCCCUGCACGAGUUUAAGUCAGUACCUGAUAAUAUUCUGACUAUUAACAGCAAGAUAAGAAUAACCUAGCUAUAAAUAACUUACUUAUUAUACUGUUAAUCCGACACAGGAGUGCACUUAAGGAAAGAUUAAAAGAAGUAAAAGGAACUCGGCAAACACCAAACCCCGCCUGUUUACCAAAAACAUCACCUCCAGCAUAACUAGUAUUGGAGGCAUUGCCUGCCCAGUGACAACCGUUAAACGGCCGCGGUAUCCUGACCGUGCAAAGGUAGCAUAAUCAUUUGUUCUCUAAAUAAGGACUUGUAUGAAUGGCCAAACGAGGGUUUUACUGUCUCUUACUUCCAAUCAGUGAAAUUGACCUUCCCGUGAAGAGGCGGGAAUAUUAUAAUAAGACGAGAAGACCCUAUGGAGCUUUAACUACUUAGUCCAAAGAAAUAAAUUUAAUAACUAAGGAGACAACAAUACUCUUUAUGGACUAACAGCUUUGGUUGGGGUGACCUCGGAGAACAGAAAACCCUCCGAGCGAUUUUAAAGACUAGACUCACAAGUCAAAUCACACUAUCGCUUAUUGAUCCAAAAAAUUGAUCAACGGAACAAGUUACCCUAGGGAUAACAGCGCAAUCCUAUUCAAGAGUCCAUAUCGACAAUAGGGUUUACGACCUCGAUGUUGGAUCAGGACACCCCGAUGGUGCAACCGCUAUCAAAGGUUCGUUUGUUCAACGAUUAAAG
rnacentral:rRNA from 1 species